UGAUCCAGCCAUGCCGCGUGUGUGAAAAGGUCUUCGGAUUGUAAAGCACUUUAAGUUGGGAGGAAGGGCAUUAACCUAAUACGUUAGUGUUUUGACGUUACCGACAGAAUAAGCACCGGCUAACUCUGUGCCAGCAGCCGCGGUAAUACAGAGGGUGCAAGCGUUAAUCGGAAUUACUGGGCGUAAAGCGCGCGUAGGUGGUUUGUUAAGUUGGAUGUGAAAGCCCCGGGCUCAACCUGGGAACUGCAUCCAAAACUGGCAAGCUAGAGUACGGUAGAGGGUGGUGGAAUUUCCUGUGUAGCGGUGAAAUGCGUAGAUAUAGGAAGGAACACCAGUGGCGAAGGCGACCACCUGGACUGAUACUGACACUGAGGUGCGAAAGCGUGGGGAGCAAACA
rnacentral:rRNA from 1 species